AGCUUUGCGCAGUUGUUGUAUCAUAGCCAUUGAGGUUUAUCCGAGCCACGAUUAUUACUAGCUGAAAAAUAUUCCCAGUACAGUGUUUUCCAAAUUUCGGCUGUACAGCAAAAUGA
rnacentral:snRNA from 1 species